UGUCCUUCCCUUCUAACUUAGGGAGUCCCACAAUACAAUACAUGGGAAUAUUCUUCCAAGUUCCUUCUAGAACUGGUAGAGGUUGCAGGAGUCCAGGGUUCAAACAGCAAUUAAUGGCCUUUGGGAGAGUACAGCCAGCGGAACCUGCAAGCUACAGAACUGUCAAACUUGCAAGAUUUUUCCGGUUUUGUUAAAUCUGAAUUGACAACUCACAUGGAAACAAUAGCAACCAACCAUAUUGAUGCACAUAAGAACAUCCGUUCCCUUGGGAUUCCUUCUUCUGAGGAUAUGAAAGGAUUGAGAAGCAAUCACUACCACUCAAUUCCUAAGAUCAUGGAAGCCGGACGAUGUUUUGUGGAUGAAUACAAGGUGGAUAGGCCUUAUUGUUUGCCACUUGAAAAGGGACCGUCUAAUACACCAGCACGGAAUCUAUUGAAGAACUCAGAAAACCCAAAUUUCAAAAGUUGACAAGAUCAUUUUCAGGAGUUUCAGCAGUGAAGCAGAAUCUGGGGACCAAAAUAUUCUGUCUGAUGCCAGUGAGUCUGCUCACUCCUUGAAUAAUUCGAGAGUUACUCCCACAGCCGUCAACUAAGGAGAAGAAACUGGCUGACAGUAACGACACGGUAACACAGUUAGCAUAUACAUAUUUGCAGAAGAAUAGCUAUAGAAAGUAGCAUUCCACCAGUUCACUUCUGUUUUAUAAGGAUUUGUAUAUCGAUUCUUCCCUCAACUAAGUUCCAGCAAGUUUCAAUUUCUUGAGCGUCGCUGCAUCAAAUUCUCUGUAUCAGUGCUUACUGUUAAAGCAAUUUCUUAUGAGUUUUUAACUUGUUUGAGUCUACCAGCCAAGUUAACAUACGGAAACUAGAUUUGUGUUGUAUAGAUGCCUACCACAUUCUACUUUAAUUGAUUUAUUGGUGUAUCAGUAGACUGAAACCCGAACUUUGCAGGGGAUUGGAACAACGGCACGUUGAGCUAUAGCUCCUUGGCACAUCCCUCUGAAACAGAUGAUACUCACUGAAAUCAGUUGGAUGUAGUCGGGAUUAGAAACGGUUGUUCUGAGGAGGCUUUCAAGCUGCAAAAUCUACAACUCUGAUCUGGAAGUAGAACAACACUUCAACUGGCUUCAGGAUAAUGCAAUUCAAAUGUCAGCUGUUAUCUUUAAAAGACAUAUCAACAUGUUUGUAUUCAGUCACCGAUCUCAAAUUACAAAAGGAGAAAACAUUGAAAAUGAGCA